UACGUAGGUGGCAAGCGUUGUCCGGAUUUAUUGGGUUUAAAGGGUGCGUAGGCGGCCCUGUAAGUCAGUGCUGAAAUAUCCCGGCUUAACCGGGAGGGUGGCAUUGAUACUGCAGGGCUUGAGUCAGAUGAAGUAGGCGGAAUUGACGGUGUAGCGGGUGAAAUGCAUAGAUAUCGUCAAGAACACCGAUAGCGAAGGCAGCUUCUAAGCUGUAACUGACGCUGAGGCACGAAAGUGUGGGGAGUCAAA
rnacentral:rRNA from 1 species